rnacentral:lncRNA from 1 species
CAGCUACACAAGCUCCACCUGGGCUUGUGCUAAACUGGUGUCCCUACUCUUUCCUGUAUAAAGGCCACACUAAGCCUGCAUAUAGGGUAGAGAUUGAAGGAGUGGCUUUGUAAAGGGGGGGGGCGGGCAAGGCUGUUUGUAUUUUUGAGAGCACCCAACUAGCAGGUGCAGCUCAUAAUAGCCCACUUCACACCACCAGGUGUGCCUUUCCUCAGUGGUAUGGCAUCAAGUUGCCUUACUCUGGCCUGCACAGGGGUGGCUCCAGCUCUAGGGUGGCUGCACAGAACAGCUCUUCCUGCCAGGCACAUCCACUGUGGAGAUUUUUUCUUCACUGUGUGUCAGCUGAACAAUGAUUGACCUCGACAUCUUGAUUUGGGGCAAGACAGUGGGGCAGGAAGAAAAUCUGCUCCUGGAAAGAGGUAGGUGCUUUGAAGUGAAAGGGAAAUACGCAUUUCUGUGACUAUGAGGGUAGGGCCAAUUAAAGCCUAGACACAGGGGAUACUUCUACAUGGCACAAAAGGCACUGUGCACGUACCAAAGCCUGACAUUGGCUGGGCACCGGAGAAAGGAAAUAGUGGUAUUAUAAUUUGCCCAGGCUAUUACUGCGUUUCUUAGCUGAACUGAGGAUCCCAUGAGGACAGCCUUAUUAAUGCAGCUGUGUUGCUUCUGGUAGCUGUUUGGAACCACUGCUGGUAUCCUUGCACAGGCUUUUCUUGUGCUCCAUGUGUGCACAUGUGCAUUUUAUUGGCAUGUCCCUAGGAGCUGGGGAAGAUGUGGAUACUUUAUAACCUGAUCUUUUUCAGUAGUGUCUCUAGCCCUCUGAGACUUCUAAGAAGCAUUUUCAAACCUGGUGGAGAAUGACCUGCCCUUGCUCUGAUUCCCACAUAGGCAUUAUAGCCCAUUGCUGAGGAUGUCCCUGCAUCUAAAUCUUCCACUUUGUGUGUAGAAAAAGGGCCCAGGUGCCAUUUUUGGAGAUGUGUGAGAAUGCCCCUUAGCGCAUGGAUCGGAAAAGAAAUCACGUUGCUGCUUGUGUGCUUAGCUGGCCUGCAGGUCCCUAGACUUGGUGCCUUGCUGUGAAGAGACAGGGACCUUGGCUCAUGGUGAGCAUCCCUGCAGCUGGGGUUCCAGGGUUAAUCCACAACUAAACAUUUUUGUCCUUAUAACACAGACUUGAAUUUGUUAUAUGGAGUACACAGUCAAAUCUGUCUCUAGCUCUGCAAAGAUAUUUGUUAAGUGUGAGUACUGUGAGUAAGAUAAACCUUUUGAAACAACAUAUUUUUUAAAAUAUGAAGUAAAUAGGGAGAUAACAGUAUCUCAGAUUUAUAUUAGUUCUUUAUUAAUAAGCAUUGUUUUGUUCAAUGCAUAUGGUGUAAGUGAAAAUAUUCAGCCAGGCAUGUAAGGCAUAAGAGAAUCAAGCUGAUGUUUCUCGUUUAAAAACGGAUUUGUUAGCAGAUUUUUCACAACAGUAAAAAAGAAAAAUCAAUAAAAAAAAAAAAAAACAAAAAACA